rnacentral:rRNA from 1 species
GGGUUGUGAGGUUAAGCGAAUAAGCGUACACGGUGGAUGCCUAGGCAAUCAGAGGCGAUGAAGGACGUGCUAAUCUGCGAAAAGCGUCGGUAAGGUGAUAUGAACCGUUAUACCCGACGAUAUCCGAAUGGGGAAACCCAGUAUCCAAUGGAUACUAUCAUUAACUGAAUCCAUAGGUUAAUGAGGCGAACCGGGAGAACUGAAACAUCUCAGUACCCCGAGGAAAAGAAAUCAACCGAGAUUCCCCUAGUAGCGGCGAGCGAACGGGGAGCAGCCCAGAGUCUUAAUCAAUGGCAGUGUCAGGAGAACGGUCUGGAAAGUCCGGCAGUAAAGGGUGAUAGCCCCGUAUCUGAAGAUGCUGUUAUUGUGAACUCGACGAGUAGGGCGGGACACGUGUUAUCCUGUCUGAAUAUGGGGGGACCAUCCUCCAAGGCUAAAUACUCCUGAUUGACCGAUAGUGAACCAGUACCGUGAGGGAAAGGCGAAAAGAACCCCGGCGAGGGGAGUGAAAAAGAACCUGAAACCGUGUACGUACAAGCAGUAGGAGCCCCAUCACUCAAGUGCCUCGCACUGAGUGAUGCAAUAACAUCACCGAAAAUAGCGUAGCAUUU